AUCCUAAAUAUUUAGUACUUACUGUGGGCAGUAAGGAAGGGAGGAGUCCUCUGCGCCUCAUCUAUCACCAGUGUGUGACGGGCCCCCCAGCACACAGCUGCAUAUUCUUCGUCGUGGGUCCUUCUAGUUGUGGCAUGUGGGACGCUGCCUCAGCGUGGUUUGAUGAGCAGUGCCAUGUCUGCGCCCAGGACUCGAACCAACAAAACACUGGGCCGCCUGCAGCAGAGCACAUGAACUUAACCACUUGGCCACGGGGCCAGCCCCUUAUUCCAUUUUGUCUAACUGCUUUAUUGACUUUACCACAUCGUUUUUUGUGUGUCUUUUAUAGCAGAGGAAACUACAGACAAACAGAAUUAAAGCAGACUAAAUCUUAAGGAAAAUAAAUGGAAGAAGACCACAGGGAUGUGAAAAAAAUAUAAUCAAUUAAGAUGUGCAUGGAAUCAUGGGCGUCAUGGAAGACUGUCUUAAGGAACCAGCAUUAGAACUGAAACCUAAGGUUGUAAUAGGACUUUACCAGAUGAAUAACAAGUGGGAAACCAUUCUAUCCAGAGGGAAGAAUACAUGGGAAGUCCUCAUCCAGGAAUCCACAUCACUAAGAGCAGACAGUUGGCCACAGCGAUGCUAGAAUGUAGUGAGGAGGAAAGUGGAUGAUUUUUUUGAGGAACAAUGAUAAGAUACUUAAUAUUCCCAGAGAGAGGGAGAGAAAGGAGGAAGAGAAGAAAGAAAACAAGUUGCAGACAAAGCCUUGCAAACCAGAAUGAUGACAACAACCUUAGAAGCUAGAAGGUAGAGAAGAACUACCUGCCAUGUUCUGAGGGUGAACUAUUGCCCAUCUAGAGUAUUAUACCACAGCAAAUCAUUCACCAAGUGUUAGGAGAGAAGAAAAUACUUUUUCAGACAUACACAGUCUCAAAAAUUUUAGCUCCCAAUCACUAUUUCUCAGGAAAUGUCAGCCUUAUUCGUGUAUAGAAAGAUUGAGUAUUGUUAAAAAUAUAAUUUAUCCCCUAUAAAAUAUAGUAUAUAUUUACUCCUAAUUUCCUAUCAGAUGUUUCAUGGGACUUCACAAGCUUAUAUUUAGAUAAAUGCGAAGAUGUAAAUGGAUAAAAAUAGACAAGAAGAUUGCAAGGUAAAAUGUUAAGAAGAUGUAUUAGAACAAAUUUAAAGAUUUCUCAUAAUGGCAUGGAAUUUAAACAUUGUAGCAUUGAUAGAGAAUUAUACAAGUAAACCAAUAGAAUAAUUCAGAGAUCCUGGGAACAGAGCCCUAUACAUACGCAAACUUAGCAUACGAUCAAUCUUUUAUUAGAUAUAAGUAGGAAAAAAUGGUCCAUAUGGCACAGAGGACAUCAAAAUUCCUCGGUUGCAUAUCCUCUUAAAUAUAUUUCUAAAAUAUAAUCUCACUUAGACAUUUAUUUUUACCCUAAUUUGUAAAACUUGCAACUUCUGUAUAUUUAAAUAUUGACAUUUUAAUGAAAACCAUUAUAAGAUUAUUAUAUAUUGCAACAGUUUGUAAAAUAUAUCUAAUAGAUGUAAAUACCAUUACAAAUGAUAUCUACCAGCAUCCACUUAAAAAAUUCAUAAACAUGCUUUUGAACAUUUUAAAAUUUUUUAUUUUCCCUUUUUUCUCUUUGAAUUCAUAUCUGCGUUCCACUUUCCAUGAAGAAUUUUUCCCAAUUUACUACAUUUUAUGCUUGAAAAUUAUUUAUUGAUUGCUCUAUUUUUCUUUUAUAGAAUAUGUAUAAAAUUGACAUUUUAACAUGUUUUAUUUCCUAUGACAUUAAAGAUCUAAGUGUUCAAAUAUUCA
ensembl:lncRNA